rnacentral:rRNA from 1 species
GAUGAACGCUAGCGGCAGGCCUAAUACAUGCAAGUCGAACGGUGUCUUCGGACAUAGUGGCGCACGGGUGCGUAACACGUAUGCAACCUACCUUACAUUGGGGGAUAGCCUUUCGAAAGGGAGAUUAAUACCGCAUAAGACAGUAGCUGGGCAUCCAGCAGCUGUUAAAGAUUUAUCGAUGUAAGCUGGGCAUGCGUCCAAUUAGCUAGUUGGUGAGGUAACGGCUCACCAAGGCAAUGAUUGGUAGGGGAACUGAGAGGUCAAUCCCCCACACUUGCACUGAGAUACGGGCCAGACUCCUACGCGAGGCAGCGGUAGGGAAUAUUGGGCGAUGGACGCAAGUCUGACCCAGGCAUGCCGCGUGCAGGAUGAAGGCGUUAUGCGUUGUAAACUGCUUUUAUACAGGAAGAAACGACUCUUGCGGGAGGCAUUGACGGUACUGUAUGAAUAAGCACCGGCUAACUCCGUGCCAGCCGCCGCGGUAAAAC